rnacentral:rRNA from 1 species
AUUGAACGCUGGCGGCAGGCCUAACACAUGCAAGUCGAGCGGAUGAAGGGAGCUUGCUCCUGGAUUCAGCGGCGGACGGGUGAGUAAUGCCUAGGAAUCUGCCUGGUAGUGGGGGAUAACGUCCGGAAACGGGCGCUAAUACCGCAUACGUCCUGAGGGAGAAAGUGGGGGAUCUUCGGACCUCACGCUAUCAGAUGAGCCUAGGUCGGAUUAGCUAGUUGGUGGGGUAAAGGCCCACCAAGGCGACGAUCCGUAACUGCUCUGAGAGGAUGAUCAGUCACACUGGAACUGAGACACGGUCCAGACUCCUACGGGAGGCAGCAGUGGGGAAUAUUGGACAAUGGGCGAAAGCCUGAUCCAGCCAUGCCGCGUGUGUGAAGAAGGUCUUCGGAUUGUAAAGCACUUUAAGUUGGGAGGAAGGGCAGUAAGUUAAUACCUUGCUGUUUUGACGUUACCAACAGAAUAAGCACCGGCUAACUUCGUG